CGAAAACGCUGGCGGCGGUGCCUAACACAUGCGAAGUACGUACGAGAAAGUCGGCUUCGGCCGAUGAGUACAGUGGCGGCACGGGUGAGUAGCGCGUGGGUAAUCUGCCCCUCGGUCAGGAAUAACCCGCCGAAAGGCGGGCUAAUACCCGAUAACACUGACGCUCCGCGGAGCGUCUUUCAAAGAAAGGCCUCUGUUUACAAGCUUUCGCCGGAGGAUGAGCCCGCGUACCAUUAGCUAGUUGGCAGGGUAAUGGCCUACCAAGGCUACGAUGGUUAGCUGGUCUGAGAGGAUGGCCAGCCACACUGGAACUGAGACACGGUCCAGACUCCUACGGGAGGCAGCAGUGAGGAAUCUUGCGCAAUGGGGGAAACCCUGACGCAGCAACGCCGCGUGAGUGAGGAAGGCCUUCGGGUCGUAAAGCUCUGUCAGAUGGGAAGAAAUGGAUGGGGGCUAAUAUCGCCCAUCCUUGACGGUACCAUCAGAGGAAGCACCGGCUAACUCCGUG
rnacentral:rRNA from 1 species